rnacentral:rRNA from 1 species
ACGCACGCUGGCGGCAGGCCUAACACAUGCAAGUCGAGCGAGACCUUCGGGUCUAGCGGCGGACGGGUGAGUAACGCGUGGGAACGUGCCCUUUUCUACGGAAUAGCCUCGGGAAGCUGAGCGUAAUACCGUAUACGCCCUUUGGGGGAAAGAUUUAUCGGAGAAGGAUCGGCCCGCGUUGGAUUAGGUAGUUGGUGGGGUAAUGGCCUACCAAGCCUACGAUCCAUAGCUGGUUUGAGAGGAUGAUCAGCCACACUGGGACUGAGACACGGCCCAGACUCCUACGGGAGGCAGCAGUGGGGAAUCUUAGACAAUGGGGGCAACCCUGAUCUAGCCAUGCCGCGUGAGUGAUGAAGGCCUUAGGGUUGUAAAGCUCUUUCAGCUGGGAAGAUAAUGACGGUACCAGCAGAAGAAGCCCCGGCUAACUCCGUG